UACGGAGGGUGCAAGCGUUAUCCGGAUUUACUGGGCGUAAAGCGUGCGCAGGCGGUUCGUUGUGUCUGAUGUGAAAGCCCCGGGCUUAACCUGGGAAUGGCAUUGGAAACUGGCGGGCUUGAGUGCGGCAGAGGGGGGUGGAAUUCCGCGUGUAGCAGUGAAAUGCGUAGAGAUGCGGAGGAACACCGAUGGCGAAGGCAGCCCCCUGGGUCGACACUGACGCUCAGGCACGAAAGCGUGGGGAGCAAACAGG
rnacentral:rRNA from 1 species